CUCACGGUAACGGUUGGUAACGGCCCGCGCGCGCCGCCCGCCGGGGGCUCGCGCCAGCCACGAGGGAGCGUCCGCGGCCCAGGCGUCCGCGCCCCGGAGGAGAGAGUCUACUUUCCAUAGUGGAGCUACUGUACUGGCUGCUGGAGUGAAGAUUCUGAAGUUAGGGAGAUUCAGCCUUCAGUCUUUGAGACUUCCUGUGGUCUGUUUCAGUCUAGAUGCAAAGUCUUACCAUCCUCACUUCUAAGGAACAUUCUGGUGCACUUCUUCUGACAGAUUUGUUCGUUCUUCUGGCAGCCCAUGGUGAGGAAACUGAGGCUCAGAGAAGAUGAGUUGUUCACUCAAAUUUAUGGGACUCAUGAAUGCGAGAACUGGGACGUGAACCCAAAUCUGCCUAAUGCCAAAGCUUCUCCUCUCACAGUUGUGGUCUGCUGUUUUCUAUGGUGCUUUCCUCUCCUUACAUUUCAGCCUCACAGAGCCACUAGCUGGAGUCAAGGCAUCUCAGAGGAAGAAAAGACUGUGCAGGUCAUCUGGUCCCACCCCCUGUUGGCACUGAGGAGAAAGCAUAAGCCUGACAUAUCUGACAAGUUGAUCAUUUGAAGAGAACAAAGCUUAUCAUCGUGGCACACCAUAUCUUUGACAAUAUCAGGAGGAAACAUCCACAUCUUUUGGUUAAAAGACUGUGGCUUCAAGGAUGGCUGGUAUUACGGAAUGAGUAGUGUCCUCCCAAAAUAUGUGCUGGAAUCAUGACCCAUGUACUUGUGGAUGCAAGCAGCACUACGUAACUAAGGCAGCUGGCUUUCCAGAAGAGGCUGUGAUUGUGCCCAAGAGUCACUCCAUGGAGUGCCCAAGGCUGCUGAGCAGAAUGAAUCUUGGCACAGACUACAGUGGACCCCCAGGUGUGACCUCACCAGCAGUGGAGUAUUGACUUUCUACCCUUCGCCUGGUUGGGGACCUCAACGAUUUGGAUAUUGAGCUACUGUGGCCUCUGAAGUAGCCCACUGUGUCCUUCUUCACUUACCAGCAAGCAGGAAUCCUCCACAGAGCCUUCACUCGGACGCUUAGAAAUGCCUGGAAACCAGUGGCUCCUUCUCUUCAUUCACUGAAAUCAAGUGACGCCAGAUCCAAAAGAGCCCCCUUUCCUGCUGUGUCCUAGCGUUCUGUCUCUUAUUUCCCUUUUAAAAAAAACUGUAAAUAUAUGUGUAAUAAAACAUUUUCAGUUCCAACAUUCUUCACAUGUAAAAUUCAGUGACAUUAUGUUCAUCAUGUUGUGCCCGUAAAAUAAAAAACACAAAACUGCCAUGGAGUCCGUUCGGACUCAUAGCAAUGCUACAGGACAGAGUAGAGCUGCCCCCUAGGGUUUCCAAGGCCGUGAUCUUUAUAGAAGCAGACUGUCACAUCUUUCUCCUGUGGAGCAGCUGGUGGGUUCCAACUACUGUCCUUUUGGUUAGCAGCUGAUCGCUUAGUCACUGCGCCACCAGGCUCCUUACCAACACCAUUAUCCAUUUCCCAUCACCCAGGCAUUGUCUAUUAUUUUCUCCUUAGCACACUGUACUGUGUACCCUAGAGUUCUAGGGUUUGUUCAGAACAGAUGAGAAGAAUAUAUAUAAGCUAAUACGUUGUCACUUUUAAGUUGCUGUGAUUUGCUUUAAAAUGAAUCAUUUCAAGGCUCUCUUUAGCAUAAAGCACUCCAAAGGUUUACGGUGCACUCCGUGUCUUUUGAAAGAAUCUGACAAUUCCUGUGGAAGGCAAGCACAAAUAUGGCUAGGAGCCAAAUGCCUACAUAUGGCCUCCUUACAGGUUUCUA